CUUGUUGAGCCUACUCAGUUUGAUCAAUUCUAUAACAUGGCACUGAAGCAAGAAGCUGCUCAGCUCAAGUGUGAGGCUUCUAAGAAGAGAGUCAGGGACGCAGUUCAGUCUUCUUCUUCCUCACUAGUGGCUGCUAAGCAACAGAAGUUCUGGUUGCCUCCUCCUCCUCCGUUUCGUCAGCCUUUCCAGCAGAAGAGCAAAGGUGGCCAUGGAUCUUCCCACUCAUCCAACUCUGGCUAUCAGAACAAGUCUCAGAAUCAAGCUCCAAAGUCGAAUGCUCCUUAUCAUCGUCCACUCUCAGAGGUGACUUGCAACAAGUGUCAGCAGAAAGGUCACUAUGCUAACAAGUGCUUCAACCAAAGGCGCCUUCCGCCUCCUCCUCCUGUGAGAUCUUCC
rnacentral:rRNA from 1 species